ensembl:lncRNA novel transcript
GCGCGGGUGCUGGCAGCCUUGCCGCUCGCUGUGCCAGUGCCCCGCAGGCUCUUUGGCAGUCCAGCAUAGUGGACUACUACGAGGUGCUGGGAGUACCCCGGUAGGCCUCGUCCGAGGGUAUCAAGAAGGCGUACCGCAAGCUGGCGCUCAAGUGGCACCCCGACAAAAACCCCGAGGACAGGGAGGAAGCGGUGAGAAGAUUCAAGCAGGUGGCUGAGGCCUACGAGGUGUUGUCGGACGCGUAGAAACGCGAUAUCUAUGACCGCUAUGGCGAGGCGAGGGCGGAGGGCGGCUGCGCAGGCGGCAGGCCCUUCAAGGACCCCUUCGAGUAGGUCUUCAGCUUCCGUGACCCCGCCGAGGUCUUCAGGGAGUUCUUUGGCGGCCGGGACCCAUUCUCCUUUGACCUCUUGGGAAACCCGCUGGAGAAUAUUUUGGGGGGUCAGAGGAACUCCCUGGGAAGCAGAAGCAGAGGGUCUGCACCCCUUUUCUCUGCCUUCAGUGAAUUUCCAGCUUUUGAGGGUGGUUUUUCUUCUUUUGAUACAGGAUUUCGUUCCUUUGGCUCCCUGGGAAGUGGGGGCCUUUCUUCCUUCUGCAUGUCCUACGGUAGUGAUGGGACAGGCAGCUUCAAGUCCAUGUCGACUUCCACUGAAAUAGUUGAUGGUAAAAAAAUCACCACCAAGAGAAUCAUUGAGAAUGGCCAAGAAAGGGUGGAAGUGGAGGAAGAUGGAGAGUUGAGUUAAAGUCCUUCAUAAUAAACGGCAUAGAGCAGUUGCUCCCCAUUGACACCAAGUAAUUCCAGUCCACAUUUGCCUUUAAGCACAUCUGGAGGAAUAGCGGACUUUUUUUAGGAUUGAAAGUGAACUUUACUUUCAGAACAGCUGUACCCAAGAAUUUAUAAACACUUUAUGCCAA